AACAUGCCUUUGUGAUGCCACAACCUGUGAUGAGAGGAAGUGAGGUAAAUGAUGUAGGCACCACUAGCACUGUGACACUGUGUCAACCAGAUAACAAAGACAGCCAGUAAGGGACUAACAGGCAGGAGCAUAUACAGCAUGGAUAUGUCAGACAGAGGGAUGGACUGGGCAGGAUGAAGCAGGAUGGUGCAAGAUAUUAUCAUGCUACUCAGAAAGGCUGUAUAGAAAGAUUUGGACUUGGGCAGCUGUAGUAUUAUCCUGUGAGGACCACAGAUGUUACCUGUAAUAGUAAAAUAAUGAAGGUGAUCAUAGAAGACACUGCAGGUAACCCACUGUGUCCUCCCUUUUUCCACUUCAGCAUACAUGGUCCCACUUCCAAUUGCCAGUAUCUGCCCUCCUCUGCCGAGGGCUUUCUUUUGCUGCUUCCCAAUAACUUGCACUCACUGGGCAGUUGGAACCACUAGGGGAUGCAGGCUUCUUACCCCAGAGCCCUCUAAUCAAUGCCUGGAAGACUGACUUCCCCAGCUCCCUUACAUCUCAGGUUAGAACUCUGCUGUGUGUGCUUUACACUGGCUCCCAGAGUCUCUGCAGCAGAAUCAAGCUCUGGAACUCAGCUGGGUAACACCUAUGUGCCCUUCCUAGUCCUUUCACCACUUCCUACCAGUAUUUUCCUUCAACCUCCAAAUAAAUUCCUUGCACUGAGAUCCUUGUCUCAGGGUCUGUGUCUGGGAAAAUCCACACCCA
rnacentral:lncRNA from 1 species